rnacentral:rRNA from 1 species
AACGAACGCUGGCGGCAUGCCUAACACAUGCAAGUCGAACGAGAUCUUCGGGUCUAGUGGCGCACGGGUGCGUAACGCGUGGGAAUCUGCCCUUUGGUUCGGAAUAACAGUUGGGAACGACUGCUAAUACCGGAUGAUGACGAAAGUCCAAAGAUUUAUCGCCAGAGGAUGAGCCCGCGUAGGAUUAGCUAGUUGGUGUGGUAAAGGCGCACCAAGGCGACGAUCCUUAGCUGGUCUGAGAGGAUGAUCAGCCACACUGGGACUGAGACACGGCCCAGACUCCUACGGGAGGCAGCAGUGGGGAAUAUUGGACAAUGGGCGAAAGCCUGAUCCAGCAAUGCCGCGUGAGUGAUGAAGGCCUUAGGGUUGUAAAGCUCUUUUACCCGGGAUGAUAAUGACAGUACCGGGAGAAUAAGCUCCGGCUAACUCCGUGCCAGCAGCCGCAGUAAAAC